UGCUCUGGUGGUUUUAUGUGGCUAGAGCGUCCGCCUUGGAUGCGAGAGGUCGCAGGUUCGAACCCCGGUCGAGUCA